rnacentral:rRNA from 1 species
GACGAACGCUGGCGGCGCGCCUAACACAUGCAAGUCGAACGAGCGAGAGAGAGCUUGCUUUCUCGAGCGAGUGGCGAACAGGUGAGUAACGCGUGAGGAACCUGCCUCAAAGAGGGGGACAACAGUUGGAAACGACUGCUAAUACCGCAUAAGCCCACGGCUCGGCAUCGAGCAGAGGGAAAAGGAGCAAUCCGCUUUGAGAUGGCCUCGCGUCCGAUUAGCUAGUUGGUGAGGUAAUGGCCCACCAAGGCAACGAUCGGUAGCCGGACUGAGAGGUUGAACGGCCACAUUGGGACUGAGACACGGCCCAGACUCCUACGGGAGGCAGCAGUGGGGAAUAUUGCACAAUGGGGGAAACCCUGAUGCAGCGACGCCGCGUGGAGGAAGAAGGUCUUCGGAUUGUAAACUCCUGUUGUUGGGGAAGAUAAUGACGGUACCCAACAAGGAAGUGACGGCUAACUACGUGCCAGCAGUCGCGGUAAAACGUAGGUCACAAGCGUUGUCCGGAAUUACUGGGUGUAAAGGGAGCGCAGGCGGGAAGACAAGCUGGAAGUGAAAUCUAUGGGCUCAACCCAUAAACUGCUUUCAAAACUGUUUUUCUUGAGUAGUGCAGAGGUAGGCGGAAUUCCCGGUGUAGCGGUGGAAUGCGUAGAUAUCGGGAGGAACACCAGUGGCGAAGGCGGCCUACUGGGCACCAACUGAUGCUGAGGCUCGAAAGUGUGGGUAGCAAACAAGAUUAGAUACCCUGGUAGUCCACACCGUAAACGAUGAUUAUUAGGUGUGGGAGGAUUGACCCCUUCAGUGCCGCAGUUAACACAAUAAGUAAUCCACCUGGGGAGUACGACCGCAAGGUUGAAACUCAAAGGAAUUGACGGGGGCCCGCACAAGCAGUGGAGUAUGUGGUUUAAUUCGACGCAACGCGAAGAACCUUACCAAGUCUUGACAUCCCUUGACAGGCAUAGAAAUAUGUUUUCUCUUCGGAGCAAGGAGACAGGUGGUGCAUGGUUGUCGUCAGCUCGUGUCGUGAGAUGUUGGGUUAAGUCCCGCAACGAGCGCAACCCUUAUGGUCAGUUACUACGCAAGAGGACUCUGGCCAGACUGCCGUUGACAAAACGGAGGAAGGUGGGGAUGACGUCAAAUCAUCAUGCCCUUUAUGACUUGGGCUACACACGUACUACAAUGGCGUUAAACAAAGAGAAGCAAGACCGCGAGGUGGAGCAAAACUCAGAAACAACGUCCCAGUUCGGACUGCAGGCUGCAACUCGCCUGCACGAAGUCGGAAUUGCUAGUAAUCGUGGAUCAGCAUGCCACGGUGAAUAAAAGGCCCCGCCUCGCACA